CCCUUAGAUGUUCUGGGCCGCACGCGUGCUACACUGAUGCAUUCAACGAGUCUAAAACCUGGUCUGAUAGGGCUGGGUAAUCUUUUGAAAGUGCAUCGUGAUUGGGAUAGAUGAUUGCAAUUCUUCAUCUCCAACGAGGAAUGCCUAGUAAACGCAAGUCAUCAGCUUGCAUUGAUUACGUCCCUGCCCUUUGUACACACCGCCCGUCGCUCCUACCGAUUGAAUGAUCCGAUGAAUACCAUGGAUUGAGAGUACGAAUAGGUUCGCUUAUUUCUGCUGCUCGAGAAGUGGAGUAAAUCUUAUCAUUUAGAGGAAGGAGAAGUCGUAACA
rnacentral:rRNA from 1 species